GUGCUUGCUACGGCUGCACAUAUACUAAAAUUGGAUCGGUACAGAGAAGAUUAGCAUGGCCCCUGCGAAAGGAUGACACGCAUAUCCAUGAAGCGCUUCAUAUUUUU
ensembl:snRNA U6 U6 spliceosomal RNA